rnacentral:rRNA from 1 species
GACGAACGCUGGCGGCGUGCCUAAUACAUGCAAGUAGAACGCUGAGGACUGGUGCUUGCACUGGUCUAAGGAGUUGCGAACGGGUGAGUAACGCGUAGGUAACCUACCUCAUAGCGGGGGAUAACUAUUGGAAACGAUAGCUAAUACCGCAUGACAGUAGGGUACACAUGUACCCUAUUUAAAAGGGGCAAAUGCUUCACUAUGAGAUGGACCUGCGUUGUAUUAGCUGGUUGGCGGGGUAACGGCCCACCAAGGCGACGAUGCGUAGCCGACCUGAGAGGGUGACCGGCCACACUGGGACUGAGACACGGCCCAG